GCCGGGAUGGUGAAACUGGAAAACACAUCGGGUUUAAGCCCCGACGCCAUUGGGCUUGCGGGUUCGACUCCCGCUCUCGGCA
rnacentral:tRNA from 1 species